AACGAACGCUGGCGGCAGGCUUAACACAUGCAAGUCGAGCGCCCCGCAAGGGGAGCGGCAGACGGGUGAGUAACGCGUGGGAAUCUACCCAUCUCUACGGAAUAACGCAUGGAAACGUGUGCUAAUACCGUAUACGUCCUUCGGGAGAAAGAUUUAUCGGAGAUGGAUGAGCCCGCGUCGGAUUAGCUAGUUGGUGGGGUAAAGGCCUACCAAGGCGACGAUCCAUAGCUGGUCUGAGAGGAUGAUCAGCCACACUGGGACUGAGACACGGCCCAGACUCCUACGGGAGGCAGCAGUGGGGAAUAUUGGAAAAUGGGCGCAAGCCUGAUCCAGCCAUGCCGCGUGAGUGAUGAAGGCCCUAGGGUUGUAAAGCUCUUUCACCGGUGAGGAUAAUGACGGUAACCGGAGAAGAAGCCCCGGCUAACUUCGUGCCAGCCGCCGCCGUAAAAC
rnacentral:rRNA from 1 species